rnacentral:misc_RNA from 1 species
UACAGAGACCUCGAGCGUUAUCCGGAUUUAUUGGGCGUAAAGCGUUCCGAUCGGUGGUUUGACAAGUCUAAGGCUAAAACCAGGAGCUCAACUUCUGGCUCGCCUCGGAUACUGUCAGACUAGAGGGGCAAAGAGGUGCUUGGAACCAGCGGUGUAGCAGUGAAAUGCGUUGAUAUCGCUGGGAACACCAAUAGCGAAGGCAGAGCACUGGGUGCCUCCUGACACUGCUAGGACGAAAGCGUGGGGAGCGAAUGGG